rnacentral:rRNA from 1 species
GACGAACGCUGGCGGCGUGCUUAACACAUGCAAGUCGAACGGAAAGGCCCUGCUUUUGUGGGGUGCUCGAGUGGCGAACGGGUGAGUAAAAAGUGAGUAACCUGCCCUUGACUUUGGGAUAACUUCAGGAAACUGGGGCUAAUACCGGAUAGGAGCUCCUGCUGCAUGGUGGGGGUUGGAAAGUUUCGGCGGUUGGGGAUGGACUCGCGGCUUAUCAGCUUGUUGGUGGGGUAGUGGCUUACCAAGGCUUUGACGGGUAGCCGGCCUGAGAGGGUGACCGGCCACAUUGGGACUGAGAUACGGCCCAGACUCCUACGGGAGGCAGCAGUGGGGAAUAUUGCACAAUGGGCGGAAGCCUGAUGCAGCAACGCCGCGUGCGGGAUGACGGCCUUCGGGUUGUAAACCGCUUUCGCCUGUGACGAAGCGUGAGUGACGGUAAUGGGUAAAGAAGCACCGGCUAACUACGUG